GUUCCAUCAAGAGACGGCGGAGGGACUGGCCCUGUGAUGCCGCAGCAACCUUCAUCUAUUGAAAGGUGCUAAAUCCAACAGUGUAUAUACUGGCAGAUGGGUA
rfam:Megasphaera sp. DJF_B143 contig_9, whole genome shotgun sequence.